UACGUAGGGUGCAAGCGUUUGUCCGGAAUUAUUGGGCGUAAAGAGCUCGUAGGCGGUCUGUCGCGUCUGCUGUGAAAACUCAGGGCUUAACCCUGAGCUUGCAGUGGGUACGGGCAGACUAGAGUGCGGUAGGGGAGACUGGAAUUCCUGGUGUAGCGGUGAAAUGCGCAGAUAUCAGGAGGAACACCGGUGGGCGAAGGCGGGUCUCUGGGCCGUAAGCUGAC
rnacentral:rRNA from 1 species